rnacentral:miRNA from 1 species
UCGAGCAGCGUUUAGUGGCUAC